UACGGAGGGAGCUAGCGUUGUUCGGAAUUACUGGGCGUAAAGCGCACGUAGGCGGCUUUGUAAGUUAGAGGUGAAAGCCCGGGGCUCAACCCCGGAAUUGCCUUUAAGACUGCAUCGCUUGAAUCCGGGAGAGGUGAGUGGAAUUCCGAGUGUAGAGGUGAAAUUCGUAGAUAUUCGCAAGAACACCAGUGGCGAAGGCGGCUCACUGGCCCGAUACUGACGCUCAGGAGCCGAAAGCGUGGGGAGCGAUC
rnacentral:rRNA from 1 species